AAAGGAACAGUUUCGCCAGUGGACCCGACUUCAUCAGCAUCAGCAGCUGAGAGAAACUCUGCUCCAAACAAACCGUGACAUCGGUCGGUAACCGAGAGCGAUUUCAAACUUUCCACCAGAUGUUGGAACCCGGAUGCAGGGAUUUGCUCCCAUUCAGCCAUAAGAGCAUUAAUCAGGUCCUAGGGUCGGGCCGAUGGCUGACAGCCAUCAACCACCAUCGUAACAUUCUUUCAGACCGUGGUCGGGAAGCACAGGGAAGACUUUGUUUGAAGACAAGGGAACGUCUUGGGUACUGAGGAGCUGCAGCUUUAUUCAUGGGCAAACUGUAACCUACACUGUACAUUUACUGCCACUGGACAACUUCACUGCUAACCUUUCCCUCUGCUCCGAUUGCCAACACCUGUCUGGGAGAUAAGGCCUGGCUCGCAGGUGGCAUUCAUCCUGAGACGGGGAAACCCAGAAAACCAUUUCUUCAUGGACCCGCCUUGGACACUAAGUCAUAAUGACACCUUAAAAGUUGCCACAAAAGAUUGAAGCACACUAUUGUCUAAAAUCCCACUGUGUGUUGUAGCAUUAAGAUUCCCCCACAGUGGAACUAAGGGGCCUAGCCAAAACCACAUGACCAAAAGUACACCAAAGUGUGUGUAUAGCACUGCCUCACACUUUUAGACUACACUUACACUUUCAGUUAGGCUAAAUGAGAAAUCAAAUCAUACACAACCAGCCAUGACAACAAUCAAAAUCAUAUACAGUAUGUAUGAAGGCUACUGUUCCAUUAUGCAUAUAAUAGGUCUAUUUCUUUUGUUUGUUGGAGGGAAAUACUGGACAGAUGGAAAUAUAUUGAGAGGAACCAGGCACUGUCAAUAAAUGUGUUCUAAGAUGUUUUUUGUCAAGUUCUCAUAUUGGUCUUUGAUAUUCAGAAACCAUUUGGGCCAAACUUCAGAACCCUUUUACUAAAUGGUGUUUGUUUUAUGUAUUUUUCAUCACAGCCAUUUUCUCAGAAUUUGGAUUUCACCUGUACAGAUCUCCACUAAACACUCAAAAUAUACUCCCUCAGAAGCGCCGUUUGGACAGGGAGGGUCUGUGCCGUACAGUUCUAGCAACCUUUAGAAACCGAAAAUACGACAGUCCUGCCUACUUCCUGCAGCAAUUGGCCAGGUGUGCACAGGUGUGAAAAUGGGAACAGCUCCAAGCACUCCAACUCAAAUUCAUUUCUCUUCAUUCCUUACAUAUUUCCUCCACUGUCCGUGUUUACUGCUCAGUCACAUCAAUCACCUCAGUUUUGGCAGCAAUGCAGGUGGUGUACUUUAAAAGAAGAGACAGGAGGAGUGCGACCGAAAAACAGAUCAAGUUCUGAACACGCACAGAUGCUCCUACACCUCCACUCCGCUAUUUUGACCCGCGGUGCCGCAACUGCCACUGAUCACACACCAUGAAAAAAUGAGACUCCCUGCAUGCUCACAACUUUUCAGUGUUAGAUGGAGCACAAUGUGAUCUUAUGAGAGAGUUUAUUUGACCUUAAAGCUUUUAUUGAAUUCAUGAGUUCUGGGCUCUUUGAAAGUGAAAUGUUCACUUUUAUUUUUCAAAUUUGGUUAUUUUGCAAACCAUGUAACAUUUAAAGAACAGUUUCAUUAGAUGUUACUUGUUUUAUCAUAUUAUAAUCAAAUAUUCUUCACUAUAAAAUCAGUAAAUCCAGCAGAAUGGGAAUUUCUUUGUUCUUAAUCCAGUUUGAAUUAAAACUUAAACUACCAUUUAUUCACAUCAA